rnacentral:rRNA from 1 species
UACGAAGGGGGCUAGCGUUGCUCGGAAUCACUGGGCGUAAAGCGCACGUAGGCGGCUUUCUAAGUCAGGGGUGAAAUCCUGGAGCUCAACUCCAGAACUGCCUUUGAUACUGCGGUGCUUGAGGACUGGAGAGGAGACUGGAAUUCAUGGUGUAGCAGUGAAAUGCGUAGAGAUCAUGAGGAAGACCAGUGGCGAAGGCGGGUCUCUGGACAGUUCCUGACGCUGAGGCACGAAGGCCAGGGGAGCAAACGGG